AUUGAGUCCCAAAGAAGGCAAGCAGUUCAUCCAAUGUCCCCCAGCAAGUGAAUUGUUAAACCAGCCUUCAGACCAGAUCUCCUGACACCAAGUGCACAGUGUUCUUUCCACUGUCGUAGAAUUCCACCUAGAUCAUAGAAUCUGACUGCAGCAAACACACAAUCAAUCUUACCACGGAGAAAGUGUUGGCUAUGGUGCCCGAGGACCUACUUCAAAUACUGCCUCUUCUGUUUAUGAUCUGGGUGACACUGCGCAAGUAACUCUGGACUUCAGCUUUGUCAUUUGUUAAAUGGGAGUAUGAGUACUGCCCAAGAUGACCUGUUAUCUUUACAUGAGAGUUAAGUGAUGAGGAAACUGAAGCCCAGAGCAGUCAAAGAAACUGGCCCCAAUCACCAAGGUCAAAAAUGACAGAGAUGGGAUUUUUAACCCAAGUCAGCAGACUAAUUACAGUCAGGUGGAGUUUAUCAGCAUGCAAGAUGUCCACUUUGUCGUCCUUCAAAUCUCAGCUACGUUUCCACAUUCUACAAGAAGCCCUGGUUCCUGUUAAGAUCUGUGCCUUCCCAUGCCCAUCAAUUGGGGAAUGACUGAACAAGUUGUG